rnacentral:rRNA from 1 species
AUGGUCUCCGCCGAGUACUCCAUCGACCUCAAGCUCUCCGAGCUCCUCAAGCAAGCGCGGCCGAGCGCUACCUCUCUCCGCGCCGCCGGGGAGGCCACGGACGCCGUCGGGGAGCUCAUCAAGAGCGUGCCGCCGCAGCAGGCUGCGCCGGAGGCUGCCUCGGGGUUCGUGAGGGACCUGGGCCUCGCGGCCGAGAAGCUAGCGUUUUCCUUCCGGCCGCCGGAGGUGGUGCGGCUCGCCGGGAGCCACGCGGCCGGCGCGGUCACCAGACCCGACGUCGCCGCUGACCUUCUCGUCCGCUUGCCUAAGGAAUGCUUUCAUGAAAAGGAUUUCCUGAAUCACCGGUACCAUGCAAAGAGGUGUCUUUACCUCUGCGUCAUCGAGAAGAGCUUGAGGUCUUCUCCUUUAAUCCGUAAGGUUUCAUGGUCUACCUUCCAAGAUGAGGCACGAAAGCCUGUCCUCCAUGUAUAUCCAGCAACAGAAAUUGCAGAACUUCCUGGGUUCUAUGUCAGGAUUAUCCCGACGGCAAGCUCUUUAUUUGAUCUUUCAAAGCUAAAUCUGUCAACAAGAAACAAUGUCCGUGCAUAUACAAAAGAUGGCAUAAACCAACCGACACCUAGGUAUAAUAACAGCAUAUUGGAGGAUAUGUUUCUGGAGGAAAAUGCAGAAUAUACCGGCAGCACCUUUGCAAAUUGGAAAACCUUGCAAGAGGCAUUGGUUUUACUAAAAGUUUGGGCACGUCAAAGAACUUCAAUAUAUUCACAUGAUUGCCUCAAUGGAUACUUAAUAUCUGCCAUCCUUGUGUUUCUUACCUUGGACUCUGGAGGAAGUAUAAUUAAUAGAUCAAUGACCACAAGACAAAUUUUCCGUGUUGCAAUCAAUUUUUUUGCAACUUCGAAGAUGUGGUCGAAGGGCUUGGUGAUUCAGCCAAUGAAGAAGCGUACUAUCAGCAAAGAGGGCAUUGCUCAUCUGCUGAAAACAUUUGAUGUUGCCAUAUGUGAUGUAUCUGGCCAUGUCAAUCUGGCAUUUCGGAUGACGAAGUCAGCCUUUUCAGAGCUCCAAGAUGAGGCAGCUUGCACACUUAAUUGCCUUGAUAAAUGCAGAGAUGGUGGAUUUGAAGAACUUUUUAUGACCAAAGUUGAUUUUGGUGCUAAGUUUGAUUCAUGUUUGAGGAUUAACUUGAAGGGGAACUCUAAAGUUACUGCAUUAAGCUUCUGCUCGGAUGAUGAAUCAUGGCGAGUACUUGAAAAAGAUGUUCAGUCCUUGCUGCAACAAGGACUUACAGAUAGAACAAAGAUGAUCCGCGUUCUGUGGAGAAGCACACCUUCUGAAUGGAAUAUAAUGGAUGGCUUCUCAGAGUUUGGUAGCAGCCCACUGAUUGUUGGUGUAAUGCUUAGCUUGUUGGAGAAGAGUUAUAGUCUUGUCGAUAUUGGUCCAAAUCCUGAAAAUCGUGAUGAGGCUAUUAAAUUUAGGAAAUUCUGGGGAGAGAAAGCUGAACUUAGGAGAUUUAAAGAUGGGGCUAUUGCUGAAAGCACAGUGUGGGAAACGGAGACUUGGGAGAGGCAUACAAUCAUCAAAAGAAUUGCUGAUUAUGUGCUUACCAAGCAUUUGCUGUUGCGGCAGGAAGAUCUCACUCAUGUUGUUGAUCAGCUUGACUUUUGUCUCUUGGUUGGUGGCCAAGAUCCAGUGUCAUCUUCUGGAGCUUUGCUUGAAGCCUUUGAUACUUUAGCUAAGCAGUUGCGUCUAUUGGAUGAUGUUCCUCUUAAAAUAUCUACUGUGCAACCUCUAGACUCAGCCUUUAGGCACACUUCUGUGUUCCCCCCUGAACCUCAUCCGUUGGCAUAUGAAAAGAGUUCUCAGAGGCUGCCCAAUUUUGCAGCAACUUGUGUUCGGUCUUUGGAAGUCAUGAUUCAGCUAGAGGGAUCUGGUAACUGGCCCUUGGAUCCUGUAGCCAUGGAGAAGACAAAGUCUGCAUUUCUUUUAAGAAUUGGUGAAAGUCUGGAGGAUCGAGGAAUGUUUGUUACAGCCAGUGAAGACGAGGUCAAUGUUCUUACAUCUGGAUAUUCAUUUUUGCUCAAAAUAUUUCAUGAGAGAGGUUUGGUGGUACAAAAGCAAGCUGGAGACAGUAACAUACAAAGUGCUCCAUCAGAAGAUAAGGAGCUCUUUUUUCGUAGUCAGCACUCAAGUAUGAUCAAUGGUCUGCAUGGUAUUUACCAAGCGUAUGGGCCGGUAGUGAGGCUAGCAAAAAGGUGGAUUUCCGCACAUCUAUUCUCUUCAUUUAUCUCAGAGGAGGCGGUUGAAUUGGUGGCUGCCUACCUAUUUUUGAGGCCGUUUCCAUUCCAUGCCCCCUCUUCACGGGUUACUGGGUUCCUUAGGUUCUUGCGGUUGCUAUCUAGUUUUGACUGGACCUUUUCACCCAUGAUUGUGGACAUAAAUAAUGACUUCAACCUGAAGGAUGAGAAAGAAAUCAAUGAAAACUUUAUGCUGAGCAGAAGAUCUUAUGAACAAAAUCCUCAUGAUAUAGAGCCUGCAAUGUUUCUGGCUACGUCAUAUGAUAAAUCAUCUGAAGCGUGGACAAAACAAUCACCAAGCAAGUCGGUUCUUAAACGGAUAGCUUCUUACGCUAAAAGCAGCGCCGAGCUGUUAACAAAUCUUAUCAUCCAUGGUCAAUCAGGCCAAUAUACAUGGGAGUGCCUCUACCGAACACCUUUAAGCAAUUAUGACGCUGUUAUACUCCUCCAUAAAGAGAAGCUUUGCCGUCCUCACCAUGUUCUUUUUCCUGCUGAGAUUCCUAACGGUAAGUUAGUAAUCCAGGGCAAACCAAGCAAUGAUUUCCACCCUUAUAUGCCACUCAGUAAAAGUGUUGUGAGAAGCUUGCAUGACACAAGAGAUAAACUUUUGGUGAAUUUUGACCCUACCGCCUACUUCUUGCGAGACUUGAAGUGUGCAUUCCCUGUGACCUUCAAAUUGUGGCACGAUUCGAUUGGAGGGGACGCAAUUGGUCUUACAUGGGAGAGCUCAAAGAAGCGUGGCAGAGAUGAGGAUGAUGAAGCCAUGCUGGAUCCAACGUCUAUACUCAAGGAGGUUGGAGAUGUGGGUAAAGGGUUGGUGAGGAGUGUACAUCUUCUCAAAGCACCAAAGCUUGAGUAA